GAGUAGGUGGAAAGGGGUGAAAGAGGAAGGGAGGAGAGAGGAAAAGGAGAGAUACGAGAGCAGGGGAGAGAGGAGGGUGGAGGGGGCAGGGGGAGGUAGGUAUAAAAACUUGGGCAGUUGGAUUAAAAUUGAUUCACUGUGAUAGGCAGAGAAAGAAAGGAAAGAGGUGAGAAGAACACAUCCGUGAAAACUAUAAAACAUCAGCUCUAUCCCUUUGGAUAGUAAGAUGAAGGUCUCUCUGCUGUGUGUGAUGCUGGGUGCUCUUGUCGCUCUGGGCCUGUGUUACGAUUCCUCUGAGAGUAAUGAAUCAUCUGAGGGUAAAUAGGUUUAUAGUGCUAUGAAUUUUGUAUGUUGUGAUGACUGAAUGAUUCUGGGGGUUUUUCUAUGAGACUGAUAACCCAGGAAAGGUGAUUGGUUGGCUGUACUGAGUGUGCGUAGAGUAAGCGUGUAGAAAUAGAUCAUGUACAGGCCAAGAAAGUUAAGGUCAUGAAGUUGAGUCCCUGGAACAUCAAAUAAAACAUUUUUUCUGAGGUUCAUUGCAAAAUCCAUUCAGAAAUUUUGCCAGAAAAAACAUAAAGUUUGUCUCCAGAUCCUAAAGAUAUACAUAUUAAAUUCAGUUUACAUGUGUUCAUUUGGUGGUUCUGCCCAAAAUGCUCAUUAGCGAAUGACACUAAAUGCAAAUAAUCAUGAUAACUACAACUGCCAGAAUAGAGCAGAGACCUAACACCAACUGCAAAGCUUCAAUAAUAGAAUCAAAGGAAACCACUGAUUUUGACAUCCCCGGCCGCACUUUAAAUUUGUUCAUUAAAUUUUCAUAGAAUAAAGCUUUGCUUUUUAAAUGGUAAACUACACCAUAGCCCUAAAUAAU